GGAGCACCAGUGAGGAUCGAACACGGCUCGCUUGGUCACAAGUCAACGUAUGAAACCAUUCGGCCAUCUUUGCUCAACUAUUUUCACGCCGUUUUACUUGUACUUAUGGAGUCUUUUGCUCGUCUUUGUCAAAGGAUUGACAAAUACGGACACGCGCAGGCGAAUCUCCCGUCUGAUUUCUGGCUUAGUGAAUUGCGUCGAGGACUCCGACUCAGGUGGCUGGGGUUCAAACCCCAUUGGUGACAAUAUUUCAACUCGAUUUGGCAAUGGGUCGCCCCACUUUCUAUGCUCUUGUUUACAUUUUUUAAAUGUAUUUUUCCUUUUUUUAUGUUAUUACGUCAUCACCCAACCCCUAUUUAAGUGGGGACUUCGAAGGCGAACGUUCUUUGUGGCAGCAUUCCGUCACCGUCGUUUCCACAAGAUCGACAAAACUUUGACAGAUUCAAAUCUGCAACAGAAUGGCCAACUUGACCUUAAAAUGGCUGACCACCUGUGACGUUUGGGACAAGGUUUAAGACUUUUAUUUGUUUUGUAUUUUUUCAGUCUACUCCUGAAACGCACGUCAAGAAACUGUCACGUUGAAUUGGGAGAACUCGACCGCUAAUUUUGUUGUCUUUCAGGCCGUCACUGACGAGUUGUCCAGCUCUGCCCUGCUCUCACUGGUGGCAAAGUUUCAUAUGAGGGGAAAAAAACAUUUGACUAAUUUGCUUCAGCAUGUGCAGACCAGUGACAUCACGGUCUAGGUGGGAACACGCACUCGAUGUCAGUGUUGACCUUUAAUGUGCACCUCUUGUAUCACCACAGGAAGAAAAAGCUGCAGAUGAGACUGAAGGAGGGUAAGGACACCUGAGAUGACUUUCCAGCAGUAAGCUUUCUUGUCUUUUUCUUUUGCCGUCUGCAGUCACGACAGCCUCUUGAUGGACGUCAGAGAGCUGAGAUGCACAUUGGUGGUAUAAAAAACAAAAUGGCUGACAAGUGCAAUUUAACAUCUUUCUCUUCUGCAGUUCCUCCAAAGUUGCACUCUGAGAUACACUGCAGCCAGAACCCUCAAGUUCUUUACCUUCUCGCUCCUGGACACUUGCAUGUUCUUGCUGCUCACGUCCACCAGGUGGCGCGUAAGGAUCCCAGGAGAACCUGGUCAUGGAUCAACUGGUGAAGUAGAUCUCCAAGCUUGGCACCUGUUGGAAAGACGAGACCUCAAUGAACUUACUGUUUGUUCUAAACAAAGAGUCAUGCUAAACUUCCUGUCCAACAUGCUGAGAUGUAACUCUGCUUCCAGUCAAAGUGCAAUCAGAGACUCUGCCACCAAGAUCCUGCACCUGCUGGGCAAGAGAAGUUCUUUAUAAACCUGCAGAAGCUCUUCAAUGUUGACACAUGCUAAUAAACUUAUUAAAAAGCGACUCAACUGGUCCCUCGUUCGUUUUUCUUUUGUCCACAGUCACGACACCCUUGUUUGACAUCAUGGAGAACUGAGGAGCAAGAUGGUGGUAUUAAAAAACAAAAUGGCUGACAAGAAAUUUCUCUCUUCUGCAGUUCCUCCACUCUGAGAUGCUCUGCAGCCAGAACCUUAUAAAGUUCUUUACCUUCUCGGGCCAGGACACUUGCAUGUUCUUGCUGCUCACGUCCACCAGGUGGUGCUGAAGGAUCCCUAGAGAUCAUGGAUCAAAUGGUGAAGUAGAUCUCGAAGCUUGGGACCUGUUGAAAAGACAAACUUAAUGAAUUGUUUGUUGUUCCAGCUGGUGGAAACAUGGCUUCACGAUCAACUUCCUG